rnacentral:rRNA from 1 species
GAUGAACGCUGGCGGCGUGCUUAAUACAUGCAAGUCGAACGAACAUUAAGAGUGCUUGCACUUUUAAUGUUAGUGGCGAACGGGUGAGUAAUACAUAGGCAACUUGCCCCAAGGACUGGGAUAACACUUAGAAAUGAGUGCUAAUACCGGAUAGGUAAUACAAAGGCAUCUUAGUAUUAUUAAAGUUGGGUAUCCAACACCAUGGGAUGGGCUUAUGCUGUAUUAGCUAGUUGGUGAGAUAAAAGCCCACCAAGGCGAUGAUACAUAGCUGGUCUGAGAGGAUGAACAGCCACAUUGGGACUGAGACACGGCCCAGACUCCUACGGGAGGCAGCAGUAAGGAAUAUUGCACAAUGGGGGAAACCCUGAUGCAGCAACGCCGCGUGAGUGAUGAAGGCCUUCGGGUU